ensembl:lncRNA
UGAGAAUAUGAAAAUAUACCUAUUCAUGUCACUGAUGGAGUGCUGAGGUUUAGAGGGUCUACACCAGAAGCUAAUGGUUAUAGGAGGAAGGUAUAUAGUGUGUGCAAUUAAGCUUGGAAUGUGUUGAGUGCAGCGAAGUGAAAUACAUGUGGCAGGUAUUGAUGAAGGGAGAGAGCCGUGGAUAACUGAUGGAAGGGGGUUGAGGUCAAAUCAGGUCACCUUAAGGGAGAAAUAUAAGUUUAUGGCCCGUAUCUCUAGUGUCCUGCCUAGCAGAUGUUAGGGUGAUGUUGCUGUUAAGCUACUGCGUAUCUAGUUUUGGUUGUGUUUAUUUGUGUGUGUAUAGUAUAAAGUAACUCUUUGAAAAGUCAACAAGUUUAUUUGAUCAAUUAAUCACAAGAGUUCUCAUAUUUGAAAUAGCUGUGCUGUAGUUACCUAUAUUUUCAGUAAGUUUAAUGUAGGGUGGACCACAUGGACAGCCCAUUAGUGGUCAAUGAAAAUAAGGUUAUUUUCUUCAGUGUCACUAGUGAUCUGUCACAACAUCACUCGUGAGUCUCCAUAUCCUCCUCUGUAGGUUUUUCUGUGUCCUACCAAACACACAUCAGUUUUCUCACAUGACAAUCUAUGUGUGGAGUUCACUUCACUGACGGAAGAAAGUGGAAAAUAUGUAUUUUUCUUUUAUUCUUCUCAUUUAUGCUACCGGUGUUGCGGUUAAAGAAAGUUGUGCAGAUUUGGUUCCCACUCCCACUAUUGUAUUUUCCCCUGGGUACAUCAAUGUAGCUACACCUGUUACAAUACGCUGUGAGUCACCAAAUGGCACAGAGUGCAAAUUCUACAAAGAUCACGACCCCAACCCUAUAAGGAAACUGGAUUACAAGCAGGGUGCUUGCCAGUUCAAGUUGUUCUGGAAUGAGUUCAAAAGGUGGAACAAGACUGAAGUAGAUCUCAGCUGUGUAAUUCUACAGAACAGAGAAGGUGAAACGAUCAAAACCUCAAAACCUAGUGAUGCUCAAAGACUUAAUGUGGGUGAUCCAAUUGGAAAGCCCAGUGUUCAUGUGUUUAAGAUUGGGAAAUACCUCAAUCUUCGAUGUGAGGCCAAGGCUGGCACCUCAUGCUACUUUUAUCUGAACAUUGGUGACUCACACUUUAAAAAACUACCCUACAAAGACAAUGUCUGUUUGGGGAGAGUGGCAGAAGAGGAACUGCUGAGGAAGAAGAGCAGUGCUGGAGAGAUCUUCAUCACCUGUGCUGUGGAGCUGGUGGUAGAGGGUGAAGAUACUGUGACAUCACAGCAUAGUGAACCCCUCGGUAUCACCAUAGAUGGAGCUACUAGUUCCCCAUCAACGUUCAGUUUAAUCACAACUGUUCAGGAGAAGACAAGCAGCAAUGUCACAGACCAAGGAAGAGGUACAAAGUUCCACGUCGUCAUCAGUCUGGGUACUUGUUCCCUUUUCCUGGUUCUGCUAGCUGGGUGUGUGCUGGGUGUUCUCCAACGCAAGUGUGGGGUUCAAGGCAGGCCUGUAAAUACUGGAAGCCCACCUGAACAGCAAGACCAAACCCCACCAUGUGUCUAUUCUGUCAUCACAAAGCCUUCUAGGGAUGAGGAAGAGGACACUAGUCUGCAAUACGCUACAGUGACAUAUACCGGUGACCAAGCUAGUUGUCAAUAUGCAACAGUGACAUCUACCGGUAACCAAGUUGAACCUGGGCGCACCAAGAUCAAGUUUGAAAUAGCUGGAGAGUACGCCCUCUUAGCAGAAUCAUAGAAGAAGAAACAUUUACUGGAUAACAUGUUUUGCCAUAGUUUACAGUUACAAUCCUAUAUUUUGUUUUCAUAUUGGAUCAUAAUUUACUCAUAGUACAAAAACAUAUCCUGCCACAAAAUCAAAGACUAAAGAUAUCUACUCCUUUCUGAAAACAAGCAUCUUCAACUAUUUGCAUUUUAGGUUAAAUGAAAUAAAUGAAAAGUACACUGUCUGAAACAUAAAAUAAAUGUUUUCCUUAAUUGAGUUACCGAAUCUAGUCAGCAGUCACCAAUCAGUAGUCACCAAUCUAUUUCACUCCUUGACAAGAGUCAAUAUAGACUCAAACCCACAAGAGGGUAGAACACAUGUCAAACUUUGCUUGUUACAUCUCUACAUCUCUCUCUCUACAUCUCUCUCUUUAACCAUGUCUGGUGUAUAUUAGUUUUCAGUGGUGGAAAAAGUACUCAACAAACAUACUUAAGUAAAAGUAAAGACACCUUCAUAGAAAAUGACUCAAGUAAUAGUAAAAAUCACCCAGUAAAAUUCUACUUGUGUAAAAGGCUAUAAGUAUUUGAUUUUAAAAUAUACUUCAGUAUCAAAAGUGAAUGUAUAACUCAUUUCAAAUUCUUUAUCUUAAGCAAACCAGAAUGCACCAUUUUCUUUUUAUUCUUCUUUUUUAUAGAAGGCCAGGGGCACACUCCAUCACUCAGCCAUCAGUUACAAACAAAUCAUGUCAGUUUAGUGAGUCCGCCAGAUCAGAGGCAGUAGGGAUGACAAGGGAUGUUCAGUUGAUAAGUGUGUGAAUUUUACAAUUUUUCUGUCCUGCUAAGCAUUCAAAAUGUAAUGAGUACUUUCGGGUGUCAAGGAAAAUGUAUGAAGUAAAAAUUACAAUGUUUUCUAAAGGAAUGUAGUGAACUAAAAGUAAAAGAAGACACAAAUAUGAAUAUAGUAUAGAUACCCCAAAAACUACUUAAGUAUUACUUUAAAGUAUUGUUACUUAAGUACUUUACACCACUGUUACUUUAAAAAAUAUGUUUUGUUAAUAUCACAGUUUACUUACAGUAUGUGACUUUACUUCCACCUGUUGAUACACUACCUCAUAUUUCCUCUCUCUGCUUCCUGAUUUUCUGCUACCCUCUUCCUGUAGUCUGUCAACAUCUGUUCCUCUCAGACCAUUUGCAAACCCACAUGAUAAUUGCAAUAAUUCAAUAAUAUUUUAAAUAUACUUUUUGCAAUUGCAAGCGGUUCCUGCCAGUUAGGCCCAACCUAAUCUGGAAUACCCAGAACAAAAUCUUGCAUGAACAUAACUCUCAUAACCUCUGUGCUCCCGACAGACGUAACAUGUUCGUUACAGAUCUUAGGACAGAUAUGCCCACCCAGAUCAGUCUUAUCUACCCCUGCAAUUGGAGCACAUUACAAACCUAUGACAGCUAUAGGUAUGAUAGUGUAUAUGAAAAUGAUGCACCAUCACAGAAGGGUCAUAGGUGGGAGCUAUUGUUUCACCAUAAAAGGAGAGAGGGGAGACACAAAAUACAGUGUGUCACUCUCACACUCACUACUGUGGCAUUGCCUGAGUCAUUAUCUACAGCCAACAGCUCCUGUGUAUAUUUCUAAAAACAUUUUCGAGAGCAGGUGAAGAUAGUCGCCCCAGAAAGCAUUUCUCAUUUCCAUAUAUCCUGUUUCACAUCUCUCUCUGCAUUAUACAUAAUAACAGGUGGCAGGUUUAAAGGACUCUUAACCGUGAUCCAAUGAAUGUGCUGCUGGUGCCUUAUGU